CAUUUACUUCAUUCACAGCUUUGGCUGUGCAUGACUUUAGACUAAUUUUAAAAAAAAAUAGAAAUAACCUUCAAAGAUGAGGAUUUUCCAGUGUAGUGAUUCCAUAUUCUCUGAAGGGAAUUCCUACAGCAGAGUUUUGAGAGCAGUGAUGCUAUCAUUAGGUUAAACAUGUAACUUCCCAAGGCUGUUGCUUUGAAGGAACAACACUCAUUCAAAUGUUUAUGUUCUGGUUUGUUUUUUCCAUUCUAAUCUUUCCUCAUAUAGUGGUUAUCUGUCCAUUUCCUUUAGUAUGUUUUCCCCCUACCUACAAGAUUUAAUUUAAACUAUAAUAAACUAAAAAUGAUCACAGUUGAUAACUAUGAUAUCACUUGUUGAUGAAUUCUUUCAUUUAUUUACCAAAUGCUGUUGAGUUCCUGUGCUAACAUUGGGAAUACAGUGAUGAGCCCAAAAAAAGCCCCUCACAGAGUUUACAGCCUAAGUAACUUCAGUCUUCCCAAUCUGGAGUUUAAAAGAAAAUAGCCUGUACCUUUCUUUAGCUCACAUUUAGAAUUUUUACACGUGUCAGAGUCCUUUGUAAUUACUGGAUGUGCAUGAUAUACUUUGUAAAAGGGGAAAGAGAUUCAAAAGAUUGAGUUGUUUACAGUCUGAUUGAGGCCAUGCAGCUUUUUUACAUAUACAAAAAGAGAAAAGAUAUAAAUUCUUGUGAACACCUGAGAUACAACAGAAUACUGAGGAAUUAUAUAAACGACCAUUACAAGGGAGUAAAGUCAAUACUGGAAGUUCGUUUUGGAGGUGGUUGGUUUUAUAGGAAAAGUUUCAGAGCAGAGAUGCUUUCCUGUUGGAUGGCACGGAAGAAUCAGGUAGCGAGAUGGGAACAGGCAAAUUGUGUUACAGGGAGGAGAGUUGCCAGUUUUCCUGAAUCUAAGUAAGGCUAUCCAAAUUGGUUAAUAUUUUGAAUUUCCUUAAUUUCUUUGAGUUUAUUUCUUUGUUUAUAUUUCCUUUAUAUGUUUGAGUCUGUAGUUUUUUGGUUCUCAUAAACACUAGCUGCUAAAAAAACACUUAAAUUUAUCUUUGUCAAAGAUGAUACGUACUUACAUUCAGCAGUGCCUUUUACAAUGAUAAAAUUGUCAUUCAGAGCAACAAGGUAAGUCAAAGGUUAGAUUUCUCUAAUCUUAUAAAUGGGAAAAAUCAAAUCAAUCUUUGAACAGGUCAGUCAUUAAAUUGAAUUUCUUUUUCCCUACUAGGAUCCUCGAUUCAAUGCAGAAGUGGACCAAAUUACAGGCUACAAGACACAAAGUAUUCUUUGUAUGCCAAUAAAGAAUCAUAGGGAAGAGGAAUUUCUUGAUCGAGUUUGCUGCCUGAGUACCGCAGUUCGUGUCCUUGCAUUCGGGCUGGACAAUUGUAUUUGUGCAGAUGCCACGGGGACAGGCUCCUGGGACAGACAGACCAGCCAGCCUGCACCCGCGGGUCCCGGCACACCCCCGUGCAGUGGCCCUCCUUUCUCCUAAGGCUGAACCUGCCGCCGCCUCUGCUACCACCACCACUUGGGGCCCUGCUGCCCCUGGAAACAUCCCCAUCAGCAGCCAAUCUCCUGAACGGCAGGGCUCUGGAAACCUCCCGGGGUUUCCGCCAGGGGAUGCAUUGUCAGCGGCUGCACCUUUCAGCCAGGAGAAGGAGAGCUGAAGUACAGCGCUCCGGAGUCUGAAAAAAGGACUGGGGAGCAGAUGAGAGCCCCAGGGCACCCCGGCUGGUCUCUGGGGACUGGGGCACUAGCCCCUCCUAUGGCAUCUCCUUCAGGAUCUGUGGGUCCCUGAGUUGUGGAAAGCCGCCCAGCCUUCUGAGCUGGGGGCCCGCAGGGUUAGCUCUGGUUGCUCUGGGCACUUGUGGGAGAGCAGGGUCAGAGCGGAGGGCAGGAGUUGGGGGCUGAAUGCUGGUGCCCACCCCAGCACACCCCGCGGUGGGCGAGGCCGCCCCUGCCUCCCUCUCCAAGGAGCAGACCACGAAGUCCGAGAAGCAGAGAGGGGAGAUGGGGAGGGAAUGGCAGUGGGGCUGCAGGGCACGCUCGGGUCAGCACUAACCGCUGGUGUAAAGGGACGAGUGGCCACUUCUGGCGGAACAACAGGCGGCGAUGGAAGGCAGCGCUCAGGACGUCAGCGGGCCUGCGGGGGACGCACUCACCAAGGACCAGCAGCACUUUCCCGCUAGGCGCCCGAUGCGCACUGCAGAGCUCAGGGUCCGGCAGCGCCUCGCAGGCCCGCACCCCGGGCUCUGGCCGCGCCCGAGUACACGUGCGCCUCAGGCCCCGCCCACAGGAGCCCUGGCCACGCCCCUCGCUCAACCACUGCGCGUCCCGUGGACCCUGAUGCGGUGAUCUCAGGAGACCCUCAGCUGCUGCGGUUCCUGGCUGAGUGAGGCCAGGCCCUCAGGCUCCAGCAUGGCCCUGCAAGACCACUGCUGCCCCCCUGCGGCCGUGCAGAGGAGGCUGCCCAUCCUGGCCUGGCUGUUGGACUCUGAAGAUGGACUUCAUCACUGGACUUUCAGUGGGGCUCAAGGUCAUUCCCCACGUGCUGGCCUGUGCUGAGGUGACCUGAUUCCUGCCCCAAGUGAGAUGUCUGCCCCUGCUGCUGGCCACAUCCCCGCCCUGACCCCACACUAGGCCUCAUCGCCUGCCCAGAAGCAGAGUAGAAAUGCACAGUAUCCCCUCCAGACAGCAGGGCACCCAGCGCUCCAGCCCCAUGGGAACCAAGAAGCCUUGGUUUACAGUCUACAGCACGUGACUGCCUUUGGGGAGACACACGCCCUUAUAACUUCUCUUGUCACACUUGUCACACACAGGUAUCAGGGCAGUUCUGGGUUGUGUGAUGGGGCCAGCAGGAUGACUCACAGUAGCUUUAAGCAUUAUUUCUCAGACUCGCAGACUCACACAGAAACACGCAGGUCUUUGUGCUCCCGCAGGUGGCACCUGUGGCCCCCUUGGGUGCGGGUAGAAAAGAGGUCCCCUCAUCACAGCAGGUCACACUCAUGGAUGAUCGAGGGUGAGUGGUUACCCUGGCUGUGUGCGCUGGUGUGCCCAAAGUACACAGUGGACACCGCAGACCCCUGUGCUCAGAUGUCUACACCAGGGGCACCAUGGGUGUGCCGUGUGCCUCCUGGGUGCUCAUCACUCUCUCCCCAACAGUGUGGCUUCUACUCUGCCUUCAUGGGUGCUUCGUGUAGUUCUUCCUGGUCAUCUUCUGGCAUGUUACCCUGAGCCCGCCUGUGCUGUGCUGCUGGCUUUCCUGCGGGCUGCAUGCAGUUAGCCAUGGGGUCCCUGCACUUGGGGAAGACUCUCAGGCCUUCAUUCCAUGGUGGGGGUGGUGUGGUUCUGCUCUUCCCAGAGUACCGAGGCCCCUGCCUCCUGGGGAUGGCCCUGCCCUCAGCAUUUCCUUCUUUGCAUUCCAAGGGCUAUCCCUGUGUGCGUGUAGUAGGGGCAGGGGGACCCUCACCCCUCAGCCCUCCCCUAUUCUGCUGAGAGGCCAGGACACUUGGAGAAGCUCCCAGAGCCUCAGACCCCAACCUCCCUUUCCUGCUCUCCAACCAGCCCAAACAGAGCAUGUCAUUCCAGUCCUCAGCCUCAGUCUUAUCCACACUGCCUUUCCCCGCCAUGUCCACCCAUGUCCUCUGGGACCAGGCAGAGCUCUGACCAACACAGUAUUCCCUCUUGGCUGCCAGGGUUCCUGCUGGACUUCGUCUCCUGUGCCAUCAUUAAAGGUUUCACCUCUGCUGCUACCAUCACCAUGGACUUUGGGCAGAUCCAGGCUGGCCUGUGCAGUCUUCCCUGAUGCAGGGCAGUGAGCAGAUCAAGGCCAGGAGGAGGCAUGUGUGAGAAUCCAGCAGCUGACAUGUCUUCCCUCUCACUCUGUGCUGGGGCUGGAUCCACACUUUCCCUGUGCUUCCUUCUCGCCACACCCCUCGGAGGGAGGUUUAUCAUCAUCUGCAUUUAGAGAGGAGGAAACCCCUUAGAAAGUUGGGUGAAUGCGAUUUAUGUGUUAUGUACACACACGUCAGGGGAAGCUUGGCAAAUGGUCUGUCCUAGGAUAGUCUGUCCUUUAUUCUAGAAACAAUAUCUUUCCUUUUUAGUGUCAGUAAUGUCCCUUGAUGUGAUCAUAAUACGGGUAGAGGGCAGCUUCUUUGUGCAUUCAUUACCUGGCAACCCUAUGCCCACAAUGUCAUUAAAACCUUGACCACAUCAUGACAGCCAUCUGAGAGUCCCUAGGGUGGGGUGGGGUUCUCCUGACUGCCCAGGACAGAAGUGGAGGAGGCGGAGGUAGGAGGUGUCCCCUGGCUAAGUAGCCCAGACUUCCAUGGCACCAGUGCCUCAGUCACCUUGGCCCUGGUGAGCGGUGUCUUCGCCAAGGGGUGCAUACUGUGGUCGGUGAUAGUCAUGUGAACUGAAGGGACACCAAAGGCUGGUAUCAGGAACAGGCACACGCCUGGACAAAUCCAGAAUGUCUUUGUAUUUGUUUUUGUGAACCGUGAACGCACCGUGAAAGGUGCGUUAAAGCCUGAUGAAUUUUAAUAGACACGUGCCCUGAAAUAUCCCGGCACACAGAGCUGAAUUUUCCACAGUUCCUUGUUGCUCUGCCUGCUGGUUGUGCUGCUCUUUGUUCACGUCUCUGAUCUUAUAUAGAGUUUAGGGUCAGACUCAGCUUUGAGAACAGCCUUUU